AUUUGCUACCUAGUAUUUUCAAGAAAAAAAAAACAAAAAAAACAAAAAACAAUCCCAGGCCCUGGUUACAUACAAAAAUUGAAGUCACCUGCAAAGCUAAGGAAUUAUCAGGAGCAUGUUUAAAAAAAAAAAAUUCUUAAUUUGUGCAUUCCACUAGAACACUGUAAGGACUUACUGGGUGGCAGGCACUGUCUCACCACAUAAAAGAAUACUGAUAAUUUAAUUGUUUUCAAAAGCAGAGGUUCUGUGGCCUCACAGGCCCCACCUCCAGUGAGGCAUUUCCCGGCAGGCAGAGCGUGAUGAAAGUGCACAUAUUUUGAAAGUGAAAUCUUUAAAAGAACAAUGAAGAAUGAAAUGUUUCAGGGCCCUGAGAAUGAGAUCAGUGUUCCCUCAGCUUAGUCAAUAGCAGGUGAUGAGCCAAGCCCCGUGCAAUAAAGGAGUGUUUGUGAACUUGUACGGAAGAAAUUCAGGAAGACCUCAAAGCCCAGAGCAAACAAAGGCUGAAAAGUUUCGUCAAGGUUGAAGGGGAAACGAGCCCAUUGGCCCAGGGCUGCAGAAGCGGCUCCCUGUCACUGUGUCAACCCGAGGAAGAUGCUUAGUGAGGGGAAGACCAGGAGGCGGGCGGGGAACUUUGAGCUCCAGAUGAACUCAACUGGCCUCACAAGACUCCUGCUGGGUCCUUUGUCCCCUGCUGCCUGUUUUGCAAAGAUAACAAAGCAAAGCAAAACAAGAAGACAGAAGAAGGAAUCCCAGCUUGGUUGUGAGGCAGAAGUUGGGGCAUGACUAAAGUGGUAUCCUUUUUUAUUUUUAUUAUUAUUAUUUUUUUCUUGAAGUGUUGUGAGAUUGGACUGUGCACAUCCUAGUUAAGCUUUCUGACGCUGGGCUACAUCCUUGAUCUUAAGAGUUGACUUACACAAGAGGAACAGAACUGUGCUGUUUCCUGGGAUUUUGUUUUUCACUUUUUUUGUGUGUGUGUGUUUUUUUUUUUUUUAAUGGAGUGUGCUGGAUGUCUCUACAAUUUUGUUCAAAUGACUGCAGAACCUGGAAAAGCUGUUGCUAACAUAAUAGCAUAACAUACUGCUAUUAUUGGUCUUUUUAUAUAAAUAUAAAUAUAUAUAUAUACAUAUAUAAUUUGAAUUUUUAGAAACUUUAGCUGUGCUGUCAACUUUGCAAAAAAGUAUCCCAGUUUACCGUGUUGAGUUGGCAUUGUACAGAAAUUAACAGCCAUAUUUGUCUAGAAAUGUUGAACUUAAUUUUUUUUCCAUUUGUACAGGGGUAAUGCACUGUAUUAAAUAUGUAAGGUCUUAUCUACGUGGGUUUGAUUACAAAAACUAAUAAAGUAUUCUCUAAAUAAAAAAAAAAAAAGAGU
rnacentral:lncRNA from 1 species